rnacentral:tRNA from 1 species
UCCCUGGUUGCCCAGUGAUUAGGACUCAGCGCUUUCACUGCUGGGGCCCAGGUUCAAUCCCUGAUCAGGGAA